AGUGAACGCUGGCGGCGUGCUUAACACAUGCAAGUCGAACGAGAACGGAAUAUAGCUUGCUAUAUUUGUCAGCUAAGUGGCGCACGGGUGAGUAAUGUAUAGAUAACCUGCCCUUAAGAAAGGAAUAACAGUUGGAAACGACUGCUAACGCCCUAUAUGCCUUUAAUACAUAAGUAUGCAAGGGAAACGCUUUAGUGCUUAAGGAUGGGUCUGUAUGGUAUCAGCUUGUUGGUGAGGUAAUGGCUCACCAAGGCUAUGACGCCUAACUGGUUUGAGAGGAUGAUCAGUCACACUGGAAUUGAGACACGGUCCAGACUCCUACGGGAGGCAGCAGUGGGGAAUAUUGCACAAUGGACGAAAGUCUGAUGCAGCAACGCCGCGUGGAGGAUGACACAUCUCGGUGCGUAAACUCCUUUUAUAUAGGAAGAUAAUGACGGUACUAUAUGAAUAAGCACCGGCUAACUCCGUGCCAGCCGCCGCCGUAA
rnacentral:rRNA from 1 species